CUUAAGCUUGUUAUCAAAUUAUUUUAUAGCCAGAUAAAAACUCUGUACAAGAGUAUCCUUGAUGCAGCAAAGCAAAAAGGCCUCAAUCCUUAAAUAUUAUCAAAUUCCCCAAACUAUUUCUCCUUUCUUUACACCACCAAGCAUAUCUCCGAAUAAUAAAUAGUUCUGAUCCUUUCGAUAUGUAAAGAUUAUUGAAUUGACAUUUAUCUUUCUAAAUAAAAUACGGUCAAGAAUCAACUUUGCUUAAUUUUGUUCGUCAUCAAACCAUUCCUCUAUUAAGAUAACUACAGUAAUACAAAAAGAAUACCCUAAAUAGAGCUUCUAUUGCACCCUAUACAUUAUGGAUGGAGGUCAUCUGCCUUCAUCAAAAGAAGAGGUAGAUAUAGAAUUUCUAGAAUAAUCCUCUACAAAACUACCACUACCACCUGAGACCCUGGUAGUGUUACUAGCAUUGGUAUUGGUCAAAGCAGAUGUAGUUGUGGUCCAACGUCCUGUACGACCUUGAAUUCCAGGUUUACCUGGUCUUGGCAAAGUGAAGGAAUCACUUGAGAUCAUGAGAUGAACAGCAUUCAUGUCAGGUCUUUCAAUUAUGCUUGCUUGGCAGCACAACAAACCUAGCUGAAUGCACAUUGCUGCCUCAUCACCAUUGUAUUUGCCGAGGGUUGGAUCAAUCAAUUCCAUUAUUCUCCCUCCUUGAUAAAGCGACCAUGCCUACAAAAUUCAAUGAAGAAAAUGAACAAGUGUGAAUGAAAUGGUCACAUUAUUUUUCUUAAUGAUUGGUUUGAGUGUAUGUUUUGAAAUUCAUGUUAAUUCCCUUUGACCACUUAAGUCAAAUAAUACAGGGACUAUACAUGUCACGGUCCCAUAUUUUUUGUUCUCCAGUUUCAUACGUUAGAUUUCACCAGAAACAGUUUCAUGUUAGAUGCUCUAUGAUGCCAAUUUAAAUACAAAAAAUUUACAGUUUACCAGCAAAGACAAACCAAAUCAUACGAUUGCCGAGUAUCAACAAACGGUUCCCAGUCACAUCGGAUCAUAAUACAUAAUAAAAAAAUAGCAAAGCUGGCAAACAAAUCAACGUCAAAUGAAAUAUGAUCAUAAUCACAAUCACUUCCCCGACAAAAGUUGGUAAAAGGAAAUAUUGGCUUAUCAAGAACAUAAAGUAGGGAUUACCGGCAUGUGACCUUUAUCCAUACCUCAAACUCAUUUGAAAUUUGUACCUUGAUCAUCGAAUAAGAUAAAUUUUAACACAAGAGUGUUCUGGUGGACAUGACUCCACUAUUCUGGAUUCAAGGUAGAAAGGGUUAAAUCUAUGCUACUUCAAUCCAUGUAGGGGGAGAGAGCUUAAUUUGUGACUAGAGUUGUGACCAACCCAGUUUACAUUAUCCGAAAGUUCACCCUUAAACAUACAUGGUAGUAGAGAAAGACUAGUGGAAGCAGUUGUGUCACAGAAUUAAUUCAGAAGCAUGCUUGUUUGGGUAACCUUAACAUAUACGAGUGAAUAUCAAGAACAAGCAUCAUUACUAAUGUAAUGACACAACAGUUUUCCAUUUUAUUAACAUCGUCCGCACAAGCUUAGAAAAUAUGCCUUUUUCUUGGUAAAAAACAUGUACGUUAAUUAAACUAUAACAAGAAUCUAAGUCCAUGAGCAUAAGUUGUCCAUACUAAAUUUGCAUUAGUGUCUGCAAUCUGAUCAACUUACAUAGCUCAAGAGAUCUGCUUUUUCUGGUCCAAGUCGCAUAUCUUGGUUUUUUCUCCCACUAACUAUUUCCAACACCAGGACUCCAUAACUGAAAACAUCCGUCUUCACUGACAGAUAUCCUCGCAAUGCAUAUUCAGGAGCCAUGUAACCACUGCAUUCAUCAAAUAUAAAGUGUAAGGAUACCAACAUCUGAAUGACAAGCACCAAGAAGGGAAGAGUCUACUCACUGUGUACCGGAAAUCUUAAAUGUAGAGAAGUCCUCUUGCCACACCAGUAACUAUUCUGAAUCGUUUUGCCCAGUCCAAAGAUGAAGACUUCCUCUUAUCUGAAAAAAAUUGUCUUACAACUUUUGUCAAUCAUUUUCUACAAGCAACAACAAAACAAAAGUAAAAAAAUAGAUGAAGAAACAUCUCUUUUCAAUACCAAACAGAAAGUGAUCAAGACUUUUGUUAGGUAGAUACUCAUAGACAAGCAUCUUUUCAGGCCCUUCUGCACAACAACCAAGUAAUGUAACCAAGUUCUUGUGCUGAAUUCUGAGUAAUAGCCUGACUUCGUUGGUGAAUUCUUUAACUCCUUGCCUAGAUUCCAAUGACAGCUUCUUAACCGCCACUUCUUGACCAUUUGGCAUCAUUCCCUGCACAAAGCAUGCAAAAUAUAAUUAAUUAAUUAAAUCGUC
rnacentral:sRNA from 1 species